ACAAGUUGCAUUGGAAUACCGAUAAAUUAACGUACUUACGUUUAGAAUAGUUAUUCAUUGAAGCAAUAUCGCGCGCUCAUUCGUGCAGAGAACACACGGUUUUGAGUUUAUUCCAUUUUCGAAUUUUGAAACUCGAAUUUGUAACGAUGCCUUGCGGAGGUUGCGGUGAUAAUUGCAAGUGCAGCACGAACCAGUGCGGCUCGUCGUGCAAAUGCGACUCGAGCUGCAGCUGCGCCUGCAAGCGUCCGGCAGCUGAGGCUACCACGCCUAAGAAGUAGAUCGACGAUUGGCCACGACGUUCCUUACCCACGUACCACUCCAGCGGUAUCUGGGUGGCCCAGACGGUAUUCCACCCGGCUGCUCCUACGGUCUUCUCACAGCUCGAUCGUCGCCCACCGUUUUAAUCAGAUGUAAAUAAAGGAUGACUCAUGCUAGACCGGACCGUGCCCGGGCCGAGGCGACCGAUGUGUCAUUGUCUAUGACGGCUAAUCGGUGAUCACGUGGUGUUUUUCCGUAGAAAACGAAGCGCCGGAAGCUCCUGCUCGGCCCCGGCCCGGUCUAGCGUGAGUCAACCUUAAAGAAUAGGCUUCGUCAAAGUCACACACAUGAGACAGUUAGGUACUUUUCCUUCCACUAUUACGCGGAGUGACAGCCGACGUCCACGAGACUUCACGAUACAUCUCCCUUGACUACUUUACGAGUUGUCGACUGAGGUGAAUUUAUUGCAAUGCCUUAAGGAUUGUACAGGCAAGUAUUCUGCUGUCAAUACACUGGCAAUGUGAUAACCCCUAAAAAAACAACCGUUUUCUUUAAAACGCCGUGGCCUUUAUGUUAUCUUUCAUUUUGUCAAUAAAAUAUUAUGUAUAUCUAUUUGAUGUCAUAUUUGUACUUA